AUUUUUGAUACAAAAAAUGUUGUGAAAUCAUCAUUUGAAGAUGUAUCGUAUUAUAAUUAUGGCAAUAUAUUUAAUUUUAUCGACAAAUAAAAUGUGUCAAACUAGGGCAUACAUGAUUAAGGAAAGAUAAGCUGUCAUGUGUUUGAACUUCAGAGAGGAUAAUGUUAUGAAAAAAAUUAUGGUUAUUUUCGGUACGAGACCCGAAGCAAUAAAAAUGGCACCAUUAGUAAAAGAAAUUGAUCAUAAUGGGAACUUUGAAGCGAACAUUGU
rnacentral:sRNA from 1 species